UCAAGAAAUUAAGACACUAUGCUGCAGGAAUGUGGCCAGUCCAAUAGCCACCCCCACUAACCAAACAUUUUCUCUGGGCUGAGACCAGCUUUGUCACAAUGAAGUACUUGACCAAAACCGUGUAAAGAAGAAGAUUGCUGAGAGUCUCAUCAAGACUUACCUCUGUGUGAAAUUCUCCUGGACUUCUGGAACUAC